GGUUGAUAUUCCCGUACCGGCGCUGACGCGCCCAUGCUGAACCUGGUUUGUGCUAACCGCUCGGUUCUUGUUCUGCCUUCGGGUGGGGCUUGGGCUGGCCGGGACCCCGGCUGGUAGUAGGCAAGCGAUGGGGUGACGCAGGAGGGUAGUCCAACCCAGGAGGUGGUUUUCCUGGGGCAAGGGUGUAGGGCGAGACGUAGGCAAAUCCGCGUCUUGUGUGCCUGAGACCUGAUGCCGAGCCA
rnacentral:rRNA from 1 species